AUCCCGAAGGUGGAAAGGCGAUGUAAUAUUCGGUAUCCUCAGUCCUUGAUGGUGUCUGGGAUGGUCUCAGAUCAAGAUCGUUUCCAGUCGAGGAACGAGGAGAGGGAGAAUAUCUAAGCGCCGGUGAAUAUCUUCCAGUGAAUGGUUUUGGAGUUGGUGGUAUUUCAUACGACAUCACACCAGAAUGAGUUCCACUGUCGCCUAAACUAGUUCCGCUACAUCCGCUAGCAGUACUCAUUCUACCAGACGAAGAGGAGCCUAAGAAAAUAGAAAUUAAUUGUAAUUCUUUUCAAGAAAAAAAAAAAUAGUACGUUUUUAAGAAAUUCCUUUUUAACUUUUAUAAUAUAAACAUAAAUGAUUAUCAUUAUUAAAAUACAUACUUGAAACGCUACGUAGACUCAAACUACUAACUGGUCUGCGAUCGGCCAGUGCGCCAUUAACAUUCUCCGUUUUGCUGGUCGAAGAAGAAUCGUCACUUCCAUUCGAAGAAUCUUUUGAAUCUAAAUAAAAUUACAAAGUAAAAAUAAAGCACCAAUAUUAACGAA